rnacentral:lncRNA from 1 species
CACACUGUAUUACUUUUUUCCCGGAGUUGUUAGCAGUGGAGCCAAAUGAAUCUUUCACAUUGGUGUCAAUUAGUGAGAAAUAUGGUCAGUUUUGUCAGCGUUGAUGGCUCUGGAAGGCUUCGAAGAGGACGUGAUCAGGGUCGGCCUGAGAGCCUUAGCUCAACCAGUUCCAGUCUCAUUUCCUUCUGGAAGGCGCCCCGGGUUGUUCAGCCCCGUAGUCGGUUCUGCUGUCCACCGAGGACGUGGGGGCCCGCAGGACGGGCUCCAGGCCGUGUGUCCGCCGGGUUGGCGGGGCUCAGGCUCACAGGUGACCUCGCUGGGGGUUCUUCUCAAAGCAGAAGCGCCCACGACCGCCUCUCUGUUGUUUCCAGAAACAUCUUCAGGAAUAAGGAUUUUAUACUUCACCAAACAUCCGGUGGGAGCCACGGCCUGGAGAGAACCACCAACCUGCGUGCAUCUGGACACACCUGCUUGAUUUUCACUAGAAACACCGACCGGAGGGCAGCCUGCACCCACGCUGCCUCACUCGCGUGCAUGCACACGCACACGCACACGCCAGCCCCCAUCAGGGGCUACGGGCCCCGGGGGCGGGUGAGCAACGACCCAAGGGCACAAGCACGUCUGCAGUGCUCACAGCUCUCGUGCACACACGCACCUGUGCCGUCUCCGCUCACUACGCGCCCAGGAGGCUGCGUGCAGAGAAGUGUCCCCCGGCGCUGGCCGCCCGGCCCCCCAGGCCCAGACUCGGAUGGGCUGAGACGGGAUCUCGCCCAAGGACGGGAGAGGCCGGGGCUGGAGGCGGCCUCUGUCUUCUCUCAUGCUUUAGGCCUUGGCUCCUAAUGUCGCCUUCCUGACCCCUGGACACGGCGGCAGCCUCUGCCCCCUGCUCGGGGCCCGCUCCCAGUUCCCGGGGUAUGGGGACACAGAGGCUGGCGCAGGGUGGUGUCGGGCAGCGACACAGCCGUGCUUGGUCCUCACUCCCGCAGGGAACCAAGAGAGGGACUUGGGAGCUUUCUGACCCAGGGGACCCCAGAAUCCUCUGAGGGUGCCCUGCCCGUCAUGUCCACCUCGAGAUCGUGCUCCUGGAGACCGCAGGGACCCAUGCG